rnacentral:rRNA from 1 species
UACAGAGGUCCCAAGCGUUGUUCGGAUUCAUUGGGCGUAAAGGGUGCGUAGGCGGCGCGGUAAGUCGGGUGUGAAAUCUCGGAGCUUAACUCCGAAACUGCAUUCGAUACUGCCGUGCUUGAGGACUGGAGAGGAGACUGGAAUUUACGGUGUAGCGGUGAAAUGCGUAGAUAUCGGAAGGAACAUCAGUGGCGAAAGCGGCUUCCUGGACCAGCACCGACGUUCAGGCACGAAAGCGUGGGGAGCAAACAGG